GAUGAACGCUGGCGGCGUGCCUAAUACAUGCAAGUCGAGCGAACAGACGAGGAGCUUGCUCCUCUGACGUUAGCGGCGGACGGGUGAGUAACACGUGGAUAACCUACCUAUAAGACUGGGAUAACUUCGGGAAACCGGAGCUAAUACCGGAUAAUAUAUUGAACCGCAUGGUUCAAUAGUGAAAGACGGUUUUGCUGUCACUUAUAGAUGGAUCCGCGCCGCAUUAGCUAGUUGGUAAGGUAACGGCUUACCAAGGCAACGAUGCGUAGCCGACCUGAGAGGGUGAUCGGCCACACUGGAACUGAGACACGGUCCAGACUCCUACGGGAGGCAGCAGUAGGGAAUCUGCCGCAAUGGGCGAAAGCUUGACGGAGCAACGCAGCGUGAGUGAUGAAGGUCUUCGGAUCGUAAAACGCUGUUAUUAGGGAAGAACAAAUGUGUAAGUAACUAUGCACGUCUUGACGGUACCUAAUCAGAAAGCCACGGCUAACUACGG
rnacentral:rRNA from 1 species